rnacentral:rRNA from 1 species
AGACCCCGUGAACCUUUACUACAGCUUGGCACUGAACAUUGACCCUACAUGUGUAGGAUAGGUGGGAGGCUUUGAAGCGCAGUCGCUAGAUUGCGUGGAGCCGUCCUUGAAAUACCACCCUUGUAGUGUUGAUGUUCUAACGUCGACCCCUUAUCGGGGUUGCGGACAGUGCCUGGUGGGUAGUUUGACUGGGGCGGUCUCCUCCCAAAGCGUAACGGAGG